rnacentral:lncRNA from 1 species
GGUUUCAAGCACUAUAAUAUUUUGUAGGACCUUUGGGUGGACACCUCUAUUAGAAAUGGAUAAUGAUAUAUUUAUUUUCAUAAAUUAUCCUAUGCAGUUCACAAACCAUCAUUUUUUAUUUGAAAUAGAAGUGGUAGCAAAGUUGUGCUACACAACACCACUCGGUCUUAAUAGUACAUGUUCCAACACCUUAAUGCCCCCGCUAGAGUUACAAACUAGCGCUACC